AAUGGAGACCAUGGGAAAUCUUCUAAUCCUUUUUACAGCUUCUUUAUGCCUCUUCCUUUUCGUUGCUUGACUCAAUGUUUUCUACAAGUAUUGGUGGAUACCUCAUCGGGUACAGUUCAUCAUGAAUUCACAAGGAAUCAGAGGACCUCCUUAUGAAUUUAUCCACGGAAACAACAAAGAAGCUGCCCAAAUGCUCAUGGAAGCAUCUACCAAACCUAUGGCCUUGACACACGAUAUAUUUCCCAGAGUCAUGCCUCAUGUUUACUCCUGGAUCAACAAAUACGUGAAGACUUAUCUUAGUUGGAAUGGAAUUCGAGCUCAAC